rnacentral:rRNA from 1 species
AUGGACCUACGGGGCGCAGCAGUGGGGAAUCUUCCGCAAUGGGCGAAAGCCUGACGGAGCAACGCCGCGUGAAUGAUGAAGGUCUUCGGAUUGUAAAGUUCUUUUCUAAGGGAAGAAGAAAGUGACGGUACCUUAGGAAUAAGCCUCGGCUAACUACGUGCCAGCAGCCGCGGUAAUACGUAGGAGGCAAGCGUUAUCCGGAAUGACUGGGCGUAAAGGGUGCGUAGGUGGUUUGACAAGUUGGUAGCGUAACUCCGGGGCUCAACCUCGGCACUACUACCAAAACUGUUGGACUUGAGUGCAGG